AGAUUUAGUCUGGAUGGUGACUGCGCGUGAGCUGAAAGAAUACUUACCACAAGGUGGAACGUAUUGAGCAGCGGGAUAGCAGGGGAGAUAUUGCUGGUUGUAUUUCUGGUUUCCGUGUGUGAUUUAGCACACAAGCUGUACACCGGAGAGAAAUCAGGUGGCUGAGC